GACGAACGCUGGCGGCGUGCUUAACACAUGCAAGUCGAACGGAAAGGCCCUGCUUUUGUGGGGUGCUCGAGUGGCGAACGGGUGAGUAACACGUGAGUAACCUGCCCUUGACUUUGGGAUAACUUCAGGAAACUGGGGCUAAUACCGGAUAGGAGCUCCUGCUGCAUGGUGGGGGUUGGAAAGUUUCGGCGGUUGGGGAUGGACUCGCGGCUUAUCAGCUUGUUGGUGGGGUAGUGGCUUACCAAGGCUUUGACGGGUAGCCGGCCUGAGAGGGUGACCGGCCACAUUGGGACUGAGAUACGGCCCAGACUCCUACGGGAGGCAGAAGUGGGGAAUAUUGCACAAUGGGCGGAAGCCUGAUGCAGCAACGCCGCGUGCGGGAUGACGGCCUUCGGGUUGUAAACCGCUUUCGCCUGUGACGAAGCGUGAGUGACGGUAAUGGGUAAAGAAGCACGGGCUAACUACGUG
rnacentral:rRNA from 1 species